UAGCUCUGUAACUUCGGGAGAAGGAGUGCCAGCUUAGAGAUAAGCUGGUCGCAGUAACAAGGGGACUCCGACUGUUUAAUAAAAACAUAGCCGACUGCUAGUUCGAAAGGAUGUGUAUAGUCGGUGAAUCCUGCUCAGUGCCGGUAUCUGAAAUCGGGUUUCAACCUGACGAAGGACCGGUAAACAGCGGGGGUAACUAUGACCCUCUUAAGGUAGCGUAAUACCUUGUCGCUUAAUUGGCGACUUGCAUGAAUGGCACAACGAGAGUCCCACUGUCUCCGCGGUACGUCCGGCGAAAUUGACUAUUACUGGCGCACAGUCCAGUAACCUCAACCUGCAAGCGAAGACCCCGUAGAGCUUUACUACAGCCUGGCGCUGUACAUUCGCACACUUUGUGCUGAGUAGACGGGAGAUGUUGAUCCCCAGGGCACAAGUCCUGGGAGGAGUCGUCCAUAGAGACACCGUCCUUAGUGCGUGACUGUACUAACUCUUAAUGAGAACAACGUUUGGUGGGUAGUUUGGGUGGGGCGCCACGCGCCCGAAAACCUAACAGGCGUGCCCAAAGGUCAGCUUAGGUGGUUCAGUCUCCACCGUAAACCGUAAGGGGAAAAGCUGGCUUGACGUGGAUCGGAUCAAUAACGAUCGACGAUGCGAAAGCAGGGCCUAACGAACCAAUGUGCCUCAUUUCUGGGGGCCAUUGAUAACAGAAAAGUUACCUCGGGGAUAAUUGAGUUGUCACCAGCAAGAGCACAUAUCGACCUGGUGGCUUGCUACUUCGAUGUCGUCUCUUCCCAACCUCCUGGUGCAGCAGCUGGGAAGGGUGGGGUUGUUCGCCCAUUAAAGGGGAUCGUGAGAUGGGUUUAGACCGUCGUGAGACAGGUUUGUUGCUUUGUGGUUGAGGCGUAUCAGGUGCCUGAUCGGAAGGGCCCUUUAGUACGAGAGGAACGAGGGCUCGGAGCCACUAGUUUACCAGUUGUCCGGCAGGGCAACGCUGGGUAGCCACGCUCCAGCGGAUAAGAGCUGAAAGCAUCUAAGCUCGAAGUCGUCCGAAAGACGAGGCACCUCAGGGGACUCGUAAAAGACGAGAUUGAUAGACAGCGGGUGUAAGGACCGAGGUUCGCCGAGGUCUUCAGCCCAGCUGCACUAACCCCCCGAGCAUCAAAAUCA
rnacentral:rRNA from 1 species